UGGGGAAUAUUGGACAAUGGGCGCAAGCCUGAUCCAGCCAUGCCGCGUGAGUGACGAAGGCCUUAGGGUUGUAAAGCUCUUUUGGCGGGGACGAUAAUGACGGUACCCGCAGAAUAAGCCCCGGCUAACUUCGUGCCAGCAGCCGCGGUAAUACGAAGGGGGCUAGCGUUGUUCGGAAUCACUGGGCGUAAAGCGCACGUAGGCGGAUUUGUUAGUCAGGGGUGAAAUCCCGGGGCUCAACCCCGGAACUGCCUUCGAUACUGGUAGUCUAGAGGUCGAGAGAGGUGAGUGGAAUUCCGAGUGUAGAGGUGAAAUUCGUAGAUAUUCGGAGGAACACCAGUGGCGAAGGCGGCUCACUGGCUCGAUACUGACGCUGAGGUGCGAAAGUGUGGGGAGCAAACAGGAUUAGAUACCCCCGUAGUCC
rnacentral:rRNA from 1 species